GUCUUCAUACUACCUGCUUCCUUCGAGACUCGACACCCAAGUUUCUUUGCUUCCUGCACGGACAUCUAAAGUUGUGCGAGGCACCCAUAUCCACCAGACAACUGGUUGUCUUGUCAUUCACCAUGGCGUCGACGAACAUCACUCAUUUAGCUUGAACCUGUGGUUGAGCGACUUUGGCCUGCACAACAUUGAAGCGGCAAAUGGCCCCUACUCCUGCUUCCC
rnacentral:lncRNA from 1 species